UUUGCUUAGAGUUUGAUCCUAGCUCAGGGUGAAUGCUGGCGGUAUGGAUAAGGCAUGCAAGUCGAAUGGGUUUAGACCCAUGGCAGACGAGGUAGUAACACGUAGGAACGUACCCGGAAGUCGGGCAUAACCGGUCGAAAGAUCGGAUAAUUCCCGAUAUGUCGCAAGAUGAAAGAUUUAUCGCUCCCGGAGCGGCCUGCGUAAUAUCAGCUAGUUGGUGAGGUAAUGGCUCACCAAGGCUAUGACGUUUAGGGGACCUGAGAGGGUGACCCCCACCGAUGAUACUGAGACACGGAUCAUACCCCUACGGGGGGCUGCAGCCGAGAAUAUUCGACAAUGGGCGAAAGCCUGAUCGAGCGAUACCGCGUGGUGGAUGAAGCGAUUCGUCGCGUAAACAUCUUUUAUGAGGGAGGAAGUUAUUGACGUUACCUCAUGAAUAAGGGGCUCCUAACUCUGUGCCA
rnacentral:ncRNA from 1 species